CCGUCCCAUCCCGCACCCCCGAUCCCUGCCCUCCAUCCCCCCCAUUACCCUCCCCUGUGCGUGUGGCCGUGCACUGAGCCCCCUUUGUUCCCUUAGGACAUGGAUGUUGCCGUCAUCACGUCGUGCCGACACUUCUUCCACGGCUCCUGCCUGCGCAAGUGGUUGUACGUGCAGGACUCGUGUCCCCUGUGCCACCAGCGGGUCACGCCAGAACCGGCACCGGCCCGGCAGGACGAGCCGGGAGAUGGAGGAGCCCCGGACCGGCCCCGGGAGGAGCCGCCGGGUGGAGCCGGCCGCGUGAACGAGGUCAGCGACCCCCGGCUCCGAGCUGAGUCCGACCCCAAAGAGCCGGGGGGAGGCGCCGCCCCGCAGCCCGACCCUCGUCCCACCGUCGCCCCCCACCGGGACCGGCCCCCCCAGCGUGACCCACCGGAGCCGCCGCCCCCCGCCCCCCCCACGGACCGUUCAGCCGGCAGGAUGGUGGGGCUGUGUCCCCCCCCGGUGCCGUGCAGGGGAUGUGGGGCGGAUCGAACCGAACCGAGCAGCACCGGGACUAAUUGCAAUAAAGCCGGAGUCGCAGCCGCUGCAGCCCAGCUCCGGUGCCGCCCGGUGACACCCCCACGGGGGGGGUGGGCAGGGGCCGAAUGCAGCCACCCCCCCCCGGAGCGCGGCCGGCCGGACUUACCCAGUACGGGGCACGGGAGGAGCGUGCCCCAUGGAUGGGAACGGGGUGGGGGCGGGUUGGAAUGGGGCGGGUGUGGGGCAGCCAUAGGAUGGCACGGGGCGGGUGUGGGGCAGCCAUGGGAUAGUAUGGGGCAGCUAUAGGAUGGCAUGGGGCGGGUGUGGGGCAGCCAUAGGGUGGCAUGGGGCGGGUGUGGGGCAGCCAUAGGGUGGCAUGGGGCGGGUGUGGGGCAGCCAUAGGGUGGCACGGGGUGGGUGUGGGGUUGCCAUAGGGUGGCAUGGGGCGGGUGUGGGGCAGCCAUAGGAUGGCAUGGGGCAGGUGUGGUGUUGCCAUAGGGUGGCUCACCCCCCCGCCGCUUUGGGGUCGGUGCCCGGCGGGGGGAUCCAUGAAGCGAUGGGGGUCCCGGCCGUGGGGCCCGGCCCCUGUGUGGGCACCCGGCCCAGCUGGGACCCCCUUCAUCUGCCCGGAACGGGGAGGAGGGUCCCCAGGGCCCGGACCCCCCCGCUGCAGCCCAGCCCCACCCGCACUUACCGCGUCCCAAUGGGGCCCUGCGGCCCAUUAGCGGCAGGGAGAGAAGCGCCGUGAGACGCGUCUGGGGGGGGCGAGCGGCAGGGAGACCCUGCAACCCCCCCCACAGCCCCCAACGCGCCGCUCCGUGACUGCAGGGAUGCGGGGGGGGCGGCCAUGGGGGGAGACGGG
rnacentral:lncRNA from 1 species